AUGGCUCCGCCGCCUGCCUCUCUGCCCGACGCCGAGGACCUGCUCCGGGAGAUUCUCCUCCGCCUCCCGCCGCGGCCUUCCUCCCUCCCCCGGGCCUCUCUCGUCUGCAAGCGUUGGCGCAGCCUCGUCGCCGACCCCCAAUUCCAACGCCGCUUCCGCGACCACCACGGCAAGCCUCCUCUCCUUGGCUUCUUCAUCGACAACUGUGGCUCCUGUCCGUUUUUUUCAAUGCUGGAUCGACCAGAUCGCAUCCCCCGCGCUCGCUUCACCAUGCCUCUCCACGAGGGCAGCCGCAUCGUCGACUGCCGCCACGGACUUGUCCUUUUCGUCAGCCGAAGGUCGCCGUGCCGCCUAUUUGUGUGGGACCCCGUCGCCCGCGAGCAGCGCCGCCUCGUCUCCCCGCCAGAGCUGGACUGCGACCAGUUGUUCAUCUUCAACGGGGCGGUGCUUCGCCCUGCCCUCAGCCAAGGAUGUCGUUCGAGCUAUUUCAAGGUGGCCCUGCUAGCCCUUGACAGAUGGAGCACUCAUACCAGAGUUUUCGCAUGCCUCUACUCAUCAGACACCGGCGCAUGGAGCAACAUCAACUCGCUGCAGCUGCAAUUGUUUGUCUCUACGGUAGAACCCAGUACUUUGAUUGGGAAUUCCUUUUGCUGGUUACUUACCGGCCAUCAUCGCUAUGCCAUACUUGAGUUUGAUCUAGAUAGGCAGAGCCUUACUGUGACAGAGCUGCCACCACAGGUAGAACCCGGCCAUCACAACUUAAGGAUUCUGCCUGCCGAAGAUGGUGGGCUUGGCUUCAUCCAUAUCUCACAAUUUCAUGGCCAAUUCUGGAAGAGAGAGCCUGAUUCUGAUGGUUUGGCUGUAUGGGUGCUCGACAGAGCUAUUGAAUUCGAGCAACUUGCAACGGAGACUCCCUCACUUUAG
rnacentral:rRNA from 1 species